rnacentral:rRNA from 1 species
UACGUAGGUCCCGAGCGUUGUCCGGAUUUACUGGGUGUAAAGGGGGCGCAGACGGCGAUGCAAGCCAGGAGUGAAAGCCCGGGGCCCAACCCCGGGACUGCUCUUGGAACUGCGUGGCUGGAGUGCAGGAGGGGCAGGCGGAAUUCCUGGUGUAGCGGUGAAAUGCGUAGAUAUCAGGAGGAACACCGGUGGCGAAGGCGGCCUGCUGGACUGCAACUGACGUUGAGGCCCGAAAGCGUGGGGAGCAAACAGG